UAAGCUGAUUGAACGGAGAUGACAUGCAGCCAUUUUUUCUUUUCCUUAUGCAGUCAAAAAUCUAUCAAGAAUGUGAAUGCACAGGCGGUGCUGGUGAUUGUUGAAGACACCACAUUGAACCUCUUAUAUAUUGAAGAAUAAUUGAAAUGAGAAUCCCAUCUUCCUGAUCUACAUUGGCUGUCAUGAGUUGAGUUUUGCGACAGUCCCGAUAAAAUCUCAUCAUUGUUGUGUUUAGAUCAGCAAUUUGAUUAGAGAAAUUCAUGAUGAAUGGUUAUA
rnacentral:misc_RNA from 1 species